GACGAACGCUGGCGGCGUGCCUAAUACAUGCAAGUUGAGCGAUGAAGAUUGGUGCUUGCACCAAUUUGAAGAGCAGCGAACGGGUGAGUAACGCGUGGGGAAUCUGCCUUUGAGCGGGGGACAACAUUUGGAAACGAAUGCUAAUACCGCAUAACAACUUUAAACAUAAGUUUUAAGUUUGAAAGAUGCAAUUGCAUCACUCAAAGAUGAUCCCGCGUUGUAUUAGCUAGUUGGUGAGGUAAAGGCUCACCAAGGCGAUGAUACAUAGCCGACCUGAGAGGGUGAUCAGCCACAUUGGGACUGAGACACGGCCCAAACUCCUACGGGAGGCAGCAGUAGGGAAUCUUCGGCAAUGGACGAAAGUCUGACCGAGCAACGCCGCGUGAGUGAAGAAGGGUUUCGGAUCGUAAAACUCUGUUGGUAGAGAAGAACGUUGGUGAGAGUGGAAAGCUCAUCAAGUGACGGUAACUACCCAGAAAGGGACGGCUAACUACGUG
rnacentral:rRNA from 1 species